rnacentral:pre_miRNA from 1 species
AUCAUCUGGGGAUUUUGUUAAAAUGCAAAUUCUGAAUCAGUAGGUCUGGUGUGAAGCCCGAGAUUCCGCAUUUCUAACAAACUCCCAGGUGAUAUCAA